rnacentral:rRNA from 1 species
GUCCGAUUAGCUAGUUGGUGGGGUAAAGGCCUACCAAGGCGACGAUCGGUAGCUGGUCUGAGAGGACGACCAGCCACACUGGGACUGAGACACGGCCCAGACUCCUACGGGAGGCAGCAGUGGGGAAUAUUGGACAAUGGGGGCAACCCUGAUCCAGCAAUGCCGCGUGUGUGAAGAAGGCCUUCGGGUUGUAAAGCACUUUCGGUGGGGACAAACAAGACGGAGCUAAUAUCUCCGUUUCUGAUGGUACCCAAAGAAGAAGCACCGGCUAACUCUGUGCCAGCAGCCGCGGUAAUACAGAGGGUGCAAGCGUUAAUCGGAAUUACUGGGCGUAAAGCGUGCGUAGGUGGUUUGUUAAGUCGGGUGUGAAAUCCUUGGGCUCAACCUGAGAAUUGCAUCCGAUACUGGCAGACUCGAGUGUGGUAGAGGGUAGUGGAACUCCCGGUGUAGCGGUGAAAUGCGUAGAUAUCGGGAAGAACACCAGUGGCGAAGGCGGCUACCUGG